rnacentral:lncRNA from 1 species
ACUCCAGCGAAGGGGAAAUAGACUCCACUGCGGGAAGGGAGACAUCCUGAAGUCUCUGCAGACAUAUUUUAACACAACCCCGUGUAUUCUUUUCAUUAAACAGAUCAGGCAGCAGAAGCUCAGAACAUUUGCUCUAUCUGACUCCGGUCACACGGCAGCAUUGCCCCUCUUGGCUGCAGUCUUGGAGUUUCCCUCCCUUCUGGCACACGCUGAACUUUCCCAUUAGAGGCACACAUCAUAUUUUUUUCCACUCCAAAGAAUCUGGUAUUUAUCCUCUCGGCUGCUCCCAGGGAAGAUUCUUCUAAACACAAUUUCUCCUCCAAAGUUGCUGUGCCAUCAAAGUUUUCUACUCUAAGACUCUUGUCACGUAUCUCCACUUUCCUCAACUUCAGUGACACAGCAAAUGUGAGAGAACUUGGGAAAUAAUGCAGGGCAUUUCAGAAAGGGUGAACGUAGCGAUGAUUAUAGAUACAAGGUUGAGCCCUUUAGCAACUGGGACUCAAAGAGCAUGCAGGAGCAUCUCUGGGUGACAAGGCAAAAACGGCUAGCUCUCUGUAAGAGGUAGCAUCUACAGCUUUACUGUUGAAUCUGGACUGAUUGUGACUUACGUUAACCAAUAAAAUGUGAUCGAAGUAACAGUUUUUGAGUUUUGAGGCUGAGCCUCAAGGGCUUUUGCACAUUUCCACUCAUGCUUUUUGAUGCCCAUGCUAACCUGUUGGAAGAUGAAGGCAUGUGAAGAGAAAGCUCCAGGCACCCCAGUCCUCCCACCUAAGCCCCCGGAUACAACGCCAAAACUGCUGAGAGAGGCACAUGCAGAGGAAGCCAGAACUGCCAAGCAAAGUCCAGCCCAGACUAUAAACCUGCAAAAUGAUUGAUUUUUAUUUUAAGUCACUAAGUUUGGGAAUGACAAAAACCCCGAUGCAACACCCAUAUAAUUGCUUUAACUAGUCAAGUAUUUUGGUCAUUUAGGUUUUGCGUAGCCUUUUGCUAAUAUCUGAAAUAAUUUCAUGAAUAUCUUUGAACACAUGUAUUUGUGCACAGAUCCAACAGAGGCUGUCUCCAAGGUAAAGAUCUAACACUAGUGCUAAUGAGGGCAGAGACAUAAAAAUGGGAAAAAUCUUGAUAAAUGACAUGACGCUCUUUUCCAAAACAGUUGUGUUAAUAUCAUACCGCAGUCAUGAUAUGAUGUUGCCUAUUUUAUCAAUAUGAUGUAUCUUUUAUUAAAAAUAAAACUGAUUGCUAAGACAUACAUAUACUUCUUUGUUUAAAUUAAAAAUCAUACUAUUUGGAGGAUUAGGCACUUUCACAUAUACAUGCAUAUGUUUCCUAUUUACUGUGGGAAGGUUAUUGAGUUGGAUGAAACUUUUAUUUACACAGUCCCCUCUCAGAGGUGACGUGGGUAGAUGACGUUUUGCUUUUGCCCAGCAUGACUCACCUCCUUUUAUUUUUACUUUUUGGUGUUGUGACUGUAUAAUGAGAAUGAUGGACUUUUCUUUCUUUCUUUUUUUUUUUUUUGUCCCUUUGCCAUUUCUUGGGCCGCUCCCGGGGCAUAUGGAGGUUCCCAGGCUAGGGGUCAAAUCAGAGCUGUAGCCACUAGCCUACACCAGAGCCACAUCAACGCAACGCCGGAUCAUUAACCCACUGAGCGAGGGCAGGGACCGAACCCGCUACCUCAUGGGCUCCUAGUUGGAUUCGUUAACCACUGUGCCACGACGGGAACUCCUUUUUUUUUUUUUUUUUUUUUUUUUUUUUUUUUGGGACUUUUCUUGAAGAUAGGUGCCCUUCCACAAGUUCAUGACUUGUCCGUUCUGUGUUACGUCUAGGACACGUGAUCAGGCAACGCAGAUAUAUAGGCUGUAGAGAUUUAACACAUUUUAUCCCCUGAACCAACAGGGUACAUGAUGACAAUGUGGCUUCAACCUCCUGUAACAACAGAACAGCAGCACACAGAAGCGUCCUCAGAGUCCUCCUUAUUCUGUGUAUAUCCUCAGCUAAAAGAAACACACAUCACAUUUUAAAACCCUUGCCUUCUAAACCCUGUACGAUGAGAAGAGAGAGCUGGAUAGAAGUCAGUCUCAAGAAUGCCAUUUUCUUCCUUGGUUGUUUUAUACAUCUCGAGAUGAACCUUUUUAACCCCUAAUGUCCCCUGGACAUGGUAUCAGGACUUUGCUUAAAAAUCCAUCACAGAUGUUCUCAAUGUUGUUAUGGCAGCUUCUACUCUUGGGGCUCAGCAGUGAGAAGCAUCUACUACUGCAAAGAGCCUGCUCAGUAAUGGACUGAAAACACUUGC